UUUAUGCCUCAAAUCAAAGUUAGUAUUCUCACCAUAUAGAUGCACCAAUCAAUAAGAUUUAUUCAGUGUAAGGAGGAGAAAUGCUGUUAGAUAGUGCUUUGACUGCAGCUGCAGUACUCGCAUAUGUCCAGGGGAGGGCCUCACGUUUUAUAGCCUGACACCGCAUGAUGCUUCAGCUCUCCUGAUACAGCGGCAGGCGCUUUUUCUCUGCCUCCUCUUCCCUAGUCUGACUCAUCUCUUUCUAUCUUAAGCUGCAUUUCCUCCAAUCCCGUACUCACAGUCCACGAAAAGUCUACUGGCACAAGAAGAGGGUCUUUUUUUAGAUCAGCAUGAUUCAUUUCCAGCACUGAGACUGCAGCAAAGAGGCCAAAAUGUGCAGCCUUGAGAGGUGCGGAAAAUGAGGAUUAUGUAUGCAUCACCUCGCUGCAACACUGACUCACAUGUUUUAAAACACUUUUUCUCCACGGUUUUGACAUUUAAUGUGUUCGUGUUGCACGGCAGUGUCCUGAAUGGACCUGCUACUGCAGAUGAGGGAGAGGCCUGAGUAGCAGCCCACCAUGACUCUGCAGUCUGUCUUCUGCUUGUAUUCUGAUCACACAGAUUCUCUGGGAAUUCUCAGUAGUGGAAAAUGUCUAAUGGGUUCAUUGUGAUCUUAACUUGAAGGCCAUUUUGGAUGUUACCACUGCAGAGACACAAACGCUUUCUCUGUUACACAUACAGUUAAAGAUGGCUGCAGUGGACACAGACAUUCAUUGAUUUAUAUUCUUUCUAAUUUUAGCCAAGAUCCCUUUACUGACUUUGUGAUGUACAUUAAGGUGCCUACUAUAUAAACGUCUGGAUCGAUAAAUAUGAUCUGGGAAUCAAUCUGGAGUUGUAACUCUCUCUAAUGGUUCUAUGUAUAUUGAUUAAAGGGGGUAAGAUGGGUGUGUCAGUGGAGUACUCGGGUGUAAAGAUACAGAGGAGACAUUAGGAUUCAGUAAGGGUAGUUUCAUGACUUGUCUUGGCCCAAAUAAAGUGGGAUACGAGGGGAAAGAACAGAUUCCUGAAGGGAGAUUUGUCUCACGCCUUCAAGUGUUUUGUUUCUGUAAACUAGCACCAGCAGUGAUCUGUUCAGUGGCGGUAUUAUGGGAUUAACAGACUUUGUGAAUCGGCCGUCAGGUAAAGAGUGAAGAGAAGGCAGAGAAUAAACCUCUCAUGCCUCCAAUGCUGCUAAGCUGGUUAAAAAUAGUGGCAGGAGAGGAAGGAUUCAGAGAAUCAUGGUGGACAGACAAGAUGAUGGGGGGUGGGUGGAGGAAACGACUGAUUUAUCUCCGGGUAAAGUAGGUGAGAAAGGGAUUACAGCAGGUGACCUUAACUGUCAGGAGAACAAUAGUGUGGCAUUGUGGGCAUUGUAAAGGCACACAAAAGAAACAUGGAGGAAGACACGUCCACAUUGAUCCUGAGUGCGUCCUGAGCCACCAGAAACCUGACCCGAUGGACCGCCCCGUCUCAUCAUGUGUAUGACAAUGAUGAGCAUGUUUGGCUGCAUGCUGUUAGCUUGGUUGGUGAGUACACACAGACCUACACACGUUUAUAGAAACAGGCCCGUUUCAGCCUGACGGGGUUAAAAUGGGCCUGUGGUGACCAUGACUGUCUAUUUUAAGAAAGGGGACACAGAUUAAAGUCUAGAGUGAAGAUUAAGAAGCAAUAUGACAAAUUUGGAUCUCAUUCUCCUCCAGGGGAAUAAAUGUGGUUCAAAGCUUAUUUACAUCUGAAUUUUCUACAGCCUAUCACAGCAUGAGAUGGACACAUGGCUGAACCCUCAUGGAGACAGCUUGUGUUAACACAGUUCAUGUGCUGACACUUGAAUCAAAACAGUUUUCUAAGAAGAUUAUAAUUUCCACGAUUGUAGAAAUGUUUUUCUAUCAAAAUCCCUCACCUGUUCUCACCUCCAUUUCCUUCCAUCCUUCCGUCUCUCUCUUUUCUUAUUCCAUGCUGUCCUCCAUCAUGUCUCAACGGGGCUUAUUCUGUGAACACCAGGCCAGAAGGACACAGUGUGCAAGAGGGGAGCAAGAGGACGAGGGCGGCACGAACACGGGCACCAUGGUGAGUGACACUGUCGAGACGCCCUCGCAAAAGAGGAAGGCAUGAGAGAGUGCGGAGGGGUGGAAAGAGCGAGAAACUGAAAGAGCGAGUGAAGAAGAUAAGGGGCCUGGGUUGUGAAACGGACGAGAGAGAGAGGGAGAGAGAGAGAAAGAGGGAGAGAGGCUUUGGGGAUUAAAGAGGAGAUGAAGGUGGAGGGCAGACAAGGCCAGUGGACAGCUGGGGGAGGCCUGGCUCAACUCGGAUUGGUUCAAAUUUGUUUGUAACAUGUUUCCAAAUGUUCUUUGAAAACUUAGACAUUGGGUCCUUGAGAUGUGGCAAUGAGAGGCCAAAAUGGCAAAAGAAGAAUGUGGGAAAACUUGGCAAGCAAGAAAAGCUUGAGAAAAGUUUGUCUUUAAAAAUUUAUGAACACAAAGGUUCAAAAGAGGCUUACAAGGCCAAAUAAAGGUCAGAGACUCAGUGUAGCAACAAGAGACCAAAAUAUCUCACUGUAACAUGUGUCUCGCCCAUAUUUGGAAUAAAAAAAACAGCCUAGUAAAUGUGAAAACCCGACUAUAUUCUGACUAAGAUUACUGUAUUUUUUUGGUGACCUACAACAGAAAAAUUAAACUACACAUUUUUAAAUUUGCACCAAACACCUUUUAACUUCGCCUGAUUUCUUAGCAGAGAGACUAAACACAACUCACCUACUCUCUUCCAGCAGCCUCUUGUUUGUGGCGGGACUUCAGGACAGUAAGGCAGUCUGCAGUGCAAAACGAUUAAUAUGAUGAUUUUAACUUCAAGGAAAUGAUAAAGUAAUGAUCAUAAAUGUUCUUCCUUGAGCUGCGUCACCCCGCUGUAGUCUGUAAACAAGCGGCUGCUGGAAGAGAGCAGGUUAGUAGUGUUUAGUCUCUUUGCUAAAGAAAUUAGGCAAAGGUAAAAAGAUGUUUGGUGGCUAGUGCUGUGGCUGAGACCCUAUAUGUUCUGUUGAUGAAGUUAGGUGCUGUUCUGAGCAUUAUUUGUGGCUAUAGAGUGGUGUUUUGGUUGAGGUUUAUGUGUGGCUCCUCAGACCGCUGUGUAUUGCUAUCCUGCGGUCGUUACUAAAGUUGGUAUAACUAGGGAAGCAAGUAGUCGGCAACAUUCAUCGCUCGAAUGGGUGUCUAACUUGGUGUUACAGUGUGUUUGACCCUAAAUCAAUUUUAUGCCAAAAUGUCCCUUUAGGGCACUUUUAAAUGAUACUGAGACUUUCAGAUUCCAAUAUUAAUGUCCAGCUAGCAAGCAAGCCACCCUAGCAUCACAAGGAGACUCCUCAUAUGUGAUAAGGUUCAAACCUUUCAUAUUAUCAACAGGCACAGACAGACAUUUCCCCAGAAGGGACAACAAACCAGGGUAAAUAAACGUUUACUGGCAUAUCAGUAGCUAAUAUUUCCUAAUCCUAAUUCAUAGUCUAAGGCUUCUUGUCCCACAUAACUCGAAUUUUAAAACUAUUUUGGCCAUCGGAAACCAUUUGUACAUGACAGGAACUGCCAUUUUUUUAAUACCAACACAACAGGGGAUUCUGACUGUUCCAUAUCAGUGGCAGCCAUCUUUGUUGUUUACAAAAAUGCCCCAGAGGAGCUUAAACCUGCUCCAUAUCACAGAGACAGAUCUGUCUGAGAGGGAGGGGAGCAGCAGACACAUCUCCAAAUAAAACAUGAGCUUGCAGAUUUGUCUGGUUUCCAGGUUAAAAAAAAUGUGUAAUAUUAGUCCAAGUAAAGCUGAGUCAUGCUGUCGGUGGACUGACUCAGUUAUCAGAUUGAGGAUAAAAUCAGUAACGAAUACUGUUCGCUAGCAUGACUAGCUACCAUAAACUGGUCAUACUGGACCAAGUCAAGCUGUUGAAAAAAGUUUAGACAAACUGAGUGUGAGAUUUUGUCAGUAAAGAUAAAGAAUUGGGGUAACACUUUACAAUAACCAUAGCUUAUAAGUGGUAAAUAGACCAUUUGUAAAUGGUAAGCAGAUAGUUUAUUAAUGUUGAAUCAUCAUCAAUAAAUAGCAUAUAGACCAUCAAUAAAUUGUACAUUUUACAAUUUUAAAAACCUAACCCUAUCUCUAACCCUAUAUUUACAACAACCAUCUAAGUAGUGUUUAUAGGUGGUUUAUAAAGCACUUAUUCAUCAUUUACAAAGUAUUACAAACGCCAGCUGCAACUUUACAAUAACCAUCUAAGUAAUAUUUAUAGAUGUUUUAAAAACAAAUAUUCAUCAUUUACAAAGUGCUACUGACACACAUUUUAAUCUAGAUGUUUACAACCAAUAUUUAAACCCUAUAUAAACCUUUAAUCAAUAGUCCAGUAAUAAUUAAUGAAAAUUAUAUUACCUUACAUUUAUAAACUAUCUAUUUGCCAUUUAUAAUUGGUCUAUAUGCUGUUUUAAAUGAUGAUUAAACAUUAAUAAACUAUCUAUUUCCUAUUUAUAAAUUAUUGUUAUUGUAAAGUGUUACCAGAAUUGGAUCUACAGGCCACUACACACUGGGUGUUAUCAAGGGUGAUAAUUAAGUUAAUGUUGUAAACAGUGAGUCAAAGACAAGCAAAGAGCAGGAUUGUGUGUUUUGGGUGAACAGCGAGUGUUCGGCCCAGGAGCAUCCAUGUGUGUUUGUGUUUGUGACAUUUGCAGCUGCUGUCCCUGCGGCAGUGGAGCUGCAAGUUGGUUUAAAAUGGUGGUUAAUUUUUAAUGCCAUCAGCUCAGGUUGCAUCAUUCUUCUGUACCUGCUGAGUGACUCCCUCUGAGUGUCUCAACAUAUUCUCAUUCAGGGAGAUGGAAUGUCAAGCAUGGCCUUUAAUUGUCCUCCUUGGUGGGCUCAAAUCACCAUGAGCUCACAUGGUUACCCACAAAUUCAGUUAAACAUGAUCGUAACUUGCUCUGUCAUUAUUUAGUAGAGGGCGAAACAUACUUCCUGUGUUGAAAUGUAAGUGUGCGCGUGUGUGUGUGUGUGUGUGUGUGUGUGUGUGAGGAUGGCAUGGCAGAAAGAAAGUGUGAAGCGGCUGAGAUAUUACACGUUCUUUGACUCACUCCUCUGAUGAUCUGUGAUAUUCUGUGUGGACAGAACUUUCUCAUAACGGCGCUCUGACUCUCCUCACAUUCCUCUUUUUUUAAUUUUCUCUUUUUAUUCUUACUUGCUGGUACAUUAUUACCCUCGUCUCCAACAUGCCCAGCAACAUGAAAGUCCUCUUAUUAUGAUCAUGCUGUGCCGUGUCUCAGCUCCAGUCCUCUGGAUCCGCUGUGCGUUCUCCUCCUCAAACAAAGCCAGGCCUGCACUGCAGAUACAGGCAGAGGGUUGGAGCCCACAGAUGUGGAGGUUUUUGUUGCGUUGUUAAGCAGGUGCUCCACCUGGACAGGAUGAGAUAAAGAGGCAGAGAGGAGAUGGAGUUAUUUGACCUUAAUUCAUCAUGAAGUAUAGCUCCAUAACACACGAGUAUAAUACAGCAGAAGAGAAAUAUGCUUCAAUCUGCAGCAUGAGAUGAAAAAUGAUGAGGGUCGUAAAACUAAUGCUCAGGAUUUUCAUUCACUUGGAGGAUAUUUAUGCUUAUAUAAGGAUGAUCAGAGGAAUGCAAUAAAAAGUGACGUACAUUCAUACUUAUUCAUAAAACUGAGCAUUAGGACAGCAUUACUCAGGGGGAUGAUGACUGUCAAAAGACAAAUAUUGUCCUGGUUGAUAGAUGGGUUCAAAUAAAGAUGUAUGUAACAGUAUAUUAAGCGUCUUUGGUAGAGGCAUUAGGGUAUAUUGUGUGGAUAUGUAGAUAGUGAAUGAAUCGUGUACUCAUACAAAGCUUAAAGUUGCAUUUUUGACCAUAAGAUCACAUCUAGGAUGAAAUUUUUUAGGUUUAUCAACAGAUCUCUAAAGCUUAUCUCAACGACUGAGUUGACAUGCAAAUUUCAGUCUUUUUUUAUGUUACCAGAUUCUGAAAACUCCUCCGAUUUCUCUAAUUUUAUAUAAUAAUAAAAACGCAGAUAUAAAUGUCUGUCAUCCAGGUGUGCUUCAGUAGCUGAAUAGCCAAAAUGUAUAUCACAAAGCUGCAACAUCUGCUCUGUUUCCAGCUGGGUGACAUUUUUGCAUGUCGUGUUCCGCUCUCUAAACAUGUUUCCUGCCUGUUCAUAAUGAAUGCAGGUCCAGGUGCUUCGCAGCUGUUUUCCAUAUGGGGGGUGGUCAGCGGUCAAACAGUCCAAUGAGUAAAAGAGAUGAUGACCAGAUUGAAGAUAACAGACACAAAGCAAUCUCGAACCACAAAAUAAUAUAUGGUUUGGUAGUGUUACGGGCUGGUUGAGUGAAAAAUAAACUGUAAAAAUGAAUAAUUUUUAAAGCUCCUGUAAGGAACUUUUGGCUUGUGUCUAGUUUGGCGCCCCCUGUGGACAAAGCAGUCUUUACCAUCUACAUGCUUAAACAGUAUCUUUUUACUAAAUAAUUCCCUCUGCUGACUCUGAAAAAGUCAAAUGUGUCAUUUCUUGUUAAUAUGUUUGUGAAAAUAGUGAUGACAGGGCUGUUUCUAAGGCGGUCAGACCUCCACCUAACCCCUCACAUCAGGUAUUAAAAGUUACAAUAUCAAAACAGUCAGUCUUGUUGCUGGUGGUCUUAUUGGCUUUUGUAUAUCAUAAAAAUGAAUCAAUUUUGAUUUUAGCCCAUUUCUUAAAAGUGAGAGAACUCCUUUAAAUAAAUCAACAAUAUAGUAUUUUUUUAUUCAGUCUGUAGGUAGCUUGCUAAUACACCAAAGAAAAUUCUUGACAUUACACUAAGGAGUUUUGUUCACACUGUCACAGAUUAUUUUGCACAUAACCACAGGCUAACUCCACAUUAUCCCUUACAUACUGUAUGUCACUCAUUUGCAAUGUGCUUUGCCUUUAAGUACAUCAUGAAUGUUCAUUGUUUCCUCUCUGGAGAUCCGCUGCUUUAACUCGCUGUCCCUGAACUGGUUGUCCAUUUUGGAAACAAAUUAAAUCAAACAGGGAACAACAACAACAGGGAAUCCAGCUGAUGAUGUAUUUCAGAAACUGGACUAACAUUUGCGGUUAGAACAGACUCAAUGUUCCUUGGCAUAAAUUAUCGAAGUCCACGGAUCUCUCACAGAGGUUAUAACGGUCGUCCCUCCAGAAAUACUUAUCCAUUUAGUGUUUGAUUAUUCAUUCUCAGUAUUUCUAUGGGAGAAAUUGGGACAGGGCUCAUCUUCAGCACAAAGGGCAAUACAUUUUUGCACAUAUCCAACUUUAUAUUUUAAGCUACUCCUUGAUCUGAAUUAUUCACCAAAAACACUUAUUUGUUUUUCUUGGCUGUAAAUAUACAUGUCAGGAAAUGUUCAUCCUUUAUGAGGUUUCUCCUUUUCUCUGUCUAUCGUUAAAAGCCACUUUCUUGGUAACUUGUUCGUCAGUCAUAUAGGGGAAAAUAAGUCAGAUUUUGACAGAUAUAAUAACUUAAUUGUUCUGAUUUUCUGUAGAAGCCUUUAAGAACUGUAAGAUAAAGCAAGCUGUCACUGGUAGGACAUUGUACGAUUUAAACUGUCAAACAAGCAAUCAUGUAUGGCAAUCUCUCAGCAAUGUCAGAACAAUUGCGGCUCGCACAGGACAUGACAGAAACCCAAAUGACACUUGGUAAUGGUGGUUAGUUUGAAAAAGAACAAAACACCUCAAAUCCUGCCAAGUUAGAUGUUUUCACCACCAGGCAGUGUUGUCACUGAAUAAUUCGGGUUUGUAUUUUUUGUUUCAAAUGAUAUAAGUCAGAUUUUGUGGUCUGUAGGCACAAACAUGUAAAGCCCAAAAAUCAACAAAGUGUCCUGACCCCAUAUGACUGGUUUCUUAAGCCCUGAGCAGGUAUGCGCUAAGGCUGAGCAAAUGGUCUCUGUAAACCAUCCUCUGGCUAAAAGACUGUAAAAGCUCCUC
rnacentral:lncRNA from 1 species